rnacentral:misc_RNA from 1 species
CCGGCUAGUGCGAGCUUUGUGAAGCUGGCAGAUAUGAAUGAGGAAGAGUGGGUGGCAUUUCUUGAGAAGUUCCAGGAGCUGCUGUAUGGUGCGUUCUGUAGCAGGAAGUUGGGUCGUGCAGGGCAGAGGCAGAGGCUGGGCACUUCUUGCCAGUUUUGACUAGGAAUCGGGGAGCACUAACGAGGAGAGGUUGGUCUGUGUCUGUCCCUUUGUUGUUUGUUGUUUGUUCAUCUUUUGUCUGUGCCCUUUGUGUUAGAUUGUAUAGAUGAAGAGUGUUCUUCGAAUAAGACCGAGACCGCAAUGCAUCCAGAGGUGAUGGUGUUGCAUUUUGUAUAUAGUUGCUAGG